AGGGUUUGAUCAUGGCUCAGAACGAACGCUGGCGGCGUGGAUAAGACAUGCAAGUCGAGCGCGAAUUAUUCCGUAGCAAUACGGGAUAGUUUGAGCGGCGCAAGGGUGCGUAACACGUGGGUAAUUUGCCGUGAAGUUGGGGAUAACUCGCUGAAAGGCGAGCUAAUACCGAAUGUGGUUACUGGAUGGCAUCAUCUGUUAACUAAAGCUGGGGAUCGUAAGACCUGGCGCUUUAUGAUAAGCCCGCGGCCUAUCAGCUAGUUGGUGCGGUAACGGCGCACCAAGGCUAAGACGGGUAGCUGGUCUGAGAGGACGACCAGCCACACUGGAACUGAGACACGGUCCAGACACCUACGGGUGGCAGCAGUCGAGAAUUUUUCUCAAUGGGCGCAAGCCUGAAGGAGCGACGCCGCGUGUGGGAUGAAGGGUUUCGAUCCGUAAACCACUGUCAUUUGUGAACAAUGGUCAUUAUUUAAAAGAUGGCGACUUGAUAGUAAUGAAAGAGGAAGGGACGGCUAACUCUGUGCCAGCAGCCGCGGUAAUACAGAGGUCCCGAGCGUUGUUCGGAUUCACUGGGCGUAAAGGGUGCGUAGGUGGCAUGGUAAGUUUGAUGUGAAAGCUCAGGGCUCAACCCUGAAAUGGCAUUGAAUACUACUGUGCUGGAGGUUUGGAGGGGGGACUGGAAUUCUUGGUGUAGCAGUGAAAUGCGUAGAUAUCAAGAGGAACACCAGUGGCGAAGGCGAGUCCCUGGACAACACCUGACACUGAGGCACGAAAGCCGGGGGAGCAAACAGGAUUAGAUACCCUGGUAGUCCCGGCCCUAAACGGUGCGCAUUUGCUGUACGAGGAAUCGACCCCUUCUGU
rnacentral:rRNA from 1 species